AUUGAACGCUGGCGGCAGGCUUAACACAUGCAAGUCGAACGAGUGGCGGACGGGUGAGUAAUAUCUGGGAACCUGCCCGAUGGAGGGGGAUAACUACUGGCAACAGUAGCUAAUACCGCAUACCCUCGGAGGUGCCGAGAUGGGAUUAGCUAGUUUGUUGGGUAAAGGAUCACCUAGCAAACGAUCCAUAGCUGGUUUGUGAGGAGGACCAGCCACAAUGGAACUGAAACACGGCCCAGACUCCUACGGUAGGCAGCAGUGGAGAAUUUGGUACAAGGGGAGGAAGCCUGGUGUAACCAUGCCGCGUGUAUGAAGAAGUCCUUCGGGUUGUAAAGUACUUUUAGCGGGGAAGCGUUAUCAGCAGAAGAAGCACCGGCUAACUCCGUGCCAGCAGCCGCGGUAAUAC
rnacentral:rRNA from 1 species